rnacentral:lncRNA from 1 species
CUCAAGUACACAAACUCUAAGUGUUGUUGUACUAGACAAGGAUUAGUCUCACACUAGAAGCUUUCUCCUUCAUAUAAUCGAUUUACUCUCUAGUAUAUUCGGAUAUAUUGUUGGAUAUGUGUGUGGAUUCCAUCACAAGUUGAUGGUCUCUUCAUCUUAAGAUCGAGUUCCCUUGUAUGGUUAAAGAGAGAUUCAUUCACCAAGUGACUGUCUACUCUCUAUUGUGAGCUUAGUCUCAUAGAAACUAAC